rnacentral:tRNA from 1 species
GGGCGGUUAGCUCAGCUGGGAGAGCGAUUGCUUGACGUGCAAUAGGUCAGAGGUUCGAUCCCUCUACCGCCUA